CUGUGUCUUGCUUCAACAGUGUUUGAACCAAACAG
rfam:Otolemur garnettii contig048698, whole genome shotgun sequence.